AGUUGGACCGCGCCGCCGGUGUCCGAGGUCCGCGCCGCUGCCGUUACCGCUCGCCGCGGCGCUCAGAGCGGUUUUGCAGCGUGCGGCCGAGCUCCUCCAGCGUUGCCUCGGCCUCGGAGCACCCAGGCAGAACAUUUCUGAAAUAUAAAGAUGUUCAUGAGGAGUUUCUCUGAAAUUAGCCCUCCGGCUGCACAAGCGAGCCGCCCCGGGGACUUCUCCAGGCAAGAAUGACAACAGGGCUGUGUCCUCAACCCCUCGAUUCAGUACCUUAGACCAGCAUCAGGGAACCUCCCACAGGGGAGGCCAAUCAGCUGCCCUGCCCCAAAGAAGAGUUUUUAGCAGGAGAGAGAAGAAAGAAGCCACAAAGUGACAAGAGUGACCAGAACUGCGGGCCAGACAGAUUUCAGACUCUGAGGAAGAACCACAUCUUGUCCUUUGUGCUCUUCGCGGCACCUCUGAACAUCGAGGGACAUGGGACGGCUUGGGAACUGGUGACUGUAUGUGGCCGUGGACACCACGCUGAGCGCAGACUGUGGUUCAAGGCGGUGGCGGGUGGCGAUGCGUUACCUGUGAGGUCGCAGCCUGCCUUCCCUGGGCUGGCCGUCAGCCCUUCUCUCCCAAGUCACGCGGGAGGAAGGUGAUUUCGUCCCGACUGCCACCCUGCCCCCCCUACGCCCCCACCCCCACUGGCAGCCAGAUUAGCCCGGAUGUCCGUAAGGUGGCAGAUGCUUAGUCCCGUUGCCUGGGUUCUACCUGAGAGGUACUGCUGGCCGCCAUGCGCUGCACUAACCCUGCAAGUGCCCUUGAACCCUCUGGUCCUUCCUGACCUUCUUAUGCCUUAAGAAGGGGGAGGCAGGGAACAAGCAAGGCGUCAGGAUGUUGGAGAGGCAGCCGGUGUCCUGGUUAAGGAGGGCCGGCUUGGGGGCACCCUCAGCAGGAACCUGGAACUCUUUGAGAGCAAGGUCUAUGUCUGAAACAUCUCUAUUUUCAAGUGCCUCGCUCCAUGCCUGGCACGUAGUAGGUAUUUGCCUGGCACAGAGUAGGUGAGCAGCGCUUCUGUAGUGAGCAGCAACCCAGGAGUGCGAGGAAGUGACUGGGAGAACUGAUGUUAACAACUGGGCUGAAAGGUUCCCCCCCGGGCCGCCCCCCAGGGGUACACCAUCCUCUUGGUGUAUGUCGGAAUUCUGAGUCAAGCACAAAAUGCAGACACCCCUUGUCUUUUGUUAGCUGCAGACUCUCUCUCUCCCCUGCAAAAAAGGGGACUACUUCUGUCUGUCCAUCCAGGGACUUUUAUGGCCUCGGCGCUCUGAUCUAAAUUUCUUUAAAAGCCAGUGAGUUAGAAAUGUUCAUGGUGGGAUCCUAAGAGCUGGUCCUGGGUUGGGCACUGCCCAGAAGAACUGCAUGUCCUCAGCAUCCAAGGCUGUCUCUGAUCAGCUGUACUUAAGCCUGGUGAAGAUGUGAGCAGAUCGUCGCGCGUUGAGGAGAGAAAGAAAGGGAGGGCCCGGACCAGCCGCCUCGCUGUCUGCUUACCAAAGGCUCACCGCUCCCGAGGUCGUCCCUGGGCAGGAGGCCAGCUGGUCACUGGGUUUGGGGGCUCCUGUCUUGGAAGCUUCUAGCUGGCACGUCCUGGGUCUCUAGCGGACCCUCUCAGAUACUCUUCCCACGACAACCCCGAGACCAAACGAGUCAGACAUGAUUAAAGAGGCAGAGGAGGCUGAGAUGGCUAAUCCAGGGAAGGCUCCUGGGAGAGCAAGGACUGGACGGCUGGGGGCCUCUCAGCGCGGCACUGCUGGGGAGCUGGCACCGGCGGUUCCAGACAAACUGUCCCAAAGGCUUCUGGGAAGUGGCUCCAGCAACUAGAAGGAAAGCUGUAAAGCACUUUAUGGUGUGCGAAGUGACCCCCCCACCCCCACUCCCCACCCUGGAGGACCCCGAGAGAAGCACCACGAGGCUCUUCUGACGGGCGCUGGCGAGCUGGCCAUCCUUGCAGGGGCUCGGCCCCACUCCCGGGGGCGUGAGACUGAGGACGACGGCACUGACCACCGAGCGUUCCGUGCUUCACACGCAGCAUCUCAUUUAAUCCCCCCAUCGAGCCUUGAAACGGGCCGUUUCUAUCCUCACAUUACAAAUGAAGAAACUAAGACAUGGAGAGGCCAAAUAACUUGCCCAAGGUCAUGCAACUAAGAAGUAGGGGAAUAGGAUUCAAAGCCAGGUCUGCCCAACAGCUGGGCUUUUGAAAGUGCUCGUUCUCCCACUGCGGGAUUUUUUGCAUUCCCUGUGCUGGGAUAACCAGCCCAUCUCCUGUCCCCCGUUACAUGGUUUUCUUGAAACAGUUCUGCUUCUCCAGUCUCUCCUGUGGCCCAUUAAAGCCACAAACUGGUUUCUAGGAGAACACGUCGAGUCGGUGCUGAGUGCUUCCCACCCCAUUAAAGCCGUGUUCACGACAAAUGCCCAGCUUCCUACUAGCAGUCACUGGACUUUCUGCUUCGGGAACCUGGGGAGAUCUGUGCUUAGGCUCUCAGUUCUGAAGAUAGGGUAAUAACAGGUGGAGCAAAGCAAGGACAUCUUAUUUCUGUUCCACCCUGACUGGACCUCAAACAGAGUUACCUGAAGAGCUGGAUUUGGCUGGGCUGGUUCAACUGUCGCCUUAGCUCAAGGGUUCUGUCUGCCAGCCAGACUCCCCUCCCGUCCUCCAUGGGGCAUCCACUGAAAGGGGGAUGAAGUAUCCAAACUGGCUUUUUCACUCCUGGGUCUGGCGCCCCGGCGCUCUCCUAGGCGGCGUCUCGGUGGAGCGGCCUCAUCUUACAGUGUUGCCCUGGGCUCCCAGAACCCACUGUCCGUUCCCUUCUCCACUCCUUUCUGCCCCCCACCCCGCAGCCGCUUCUGUGGGGAAGGGUCUCAUUCAGCCCCCGCUGCCAGGUGGCUGUGCUGUAUCUCGUGACCCUGCUCUGCCCCCCCUACACACACACAUACAGGUCACUGGACCAGGAUCUAUAUAGGCUGGCCAACAACUUUUGAAGUCCCCUGGCUCAGAAAUAUAAAGAAAGCCAGUGAGACCAGUCAGAUUCCCCUUUUAGGAAACAUGAACCCCCACAUCAGACCAUACGGGCAGUGUGUGACAAGAGGUGGCGAGAACAGGAAGGAGCCUGGAGGGACUGAUGUGUUGGCCAGAAUUACAGCGAGGAAGAAAGCUGGAGAUUAAAAAAAAAGCAAAACAAGCUGUGACACAGAAAAAAUGCACUUCUAGCGUCUUUUGGUGAAAAGAUAAAGGAAGGAAUGACCAGAAGGGAGCUGGGACUCUGAAAGGCAGAGAGACAGGCUGGCCCUGGAGCCACCCUGGGGCCCACUAGACCUGCUCUGCCCCAGUGGGUGUCACUGCAGUGAGCUCAUUACUUACUCCCUUUGCUGACUGUUGGCUUAGACGUGAGUGGGCACGUGACUUAGUUCUGCCAACAAAACUUACAGAGAAAUGGCCGGGGAACAUUCUGGGAAGAAGUUUGCUUUCUGAUCAAAAGAGGCAGAGAGACUGAAGAGGCCCAUCCCUUCGUCCUGCUUUGAACAUGGAUGUUUGAGAUGUGAUAGCUGGAGCUGGAGCAGCCAUCUUGAGACCAUGAGGCAAAAAGACCAAGCAAAAAAGCCAAUACACCAAGAUGGGCCAAGCAACAGAUUAAAAAAAGCCUGGGUCCUUGAUGAUAGCGUUGAGCCAUUAUACCUAUCCUGGAAUCACGUACUUCCAGUCUUAAUGAUCUAUCAAUUAAAUGUCUUUUAUUUUCUAAGCAGAUUUCUGCUAUUCGCAGCCUUCAGCUGUGGGCAGAGAAUGCUGGCGGUUGACAAGGACCAGAUUAUGCCUUCUUCGGAUCCACCCUGUAUCAAGCAGUGUGUGGUUCAUGUUGUUUGAACACCAGAAAAUGUGCCUGACCCUUCCCUUAUGAAAUGAGAGGCUGAACUCAGAACUCUAGCCCUUCCUCUCUAAAUUUCUAGUUUUAGAAGACAAAGAGAACCUGGCAUCGUCCUAAUGUACCCUUCAGAUGACAUAUUAUUCCACUACAUACAGAACUUGAGAAAAAUCAAAAGCCCGUUUCCCAUCUCGAAAGAGUCUUCAGCAGUAAAGACGCAUGGCCCGCAGGAGUUCACCCAGUAAAUGGGGCCCCCCCGAACAGAGAUGUGUUGCAAUCACAGCAGAAUUUGCACCCUCCAGCUGCUGGGGGUAAGCCACACACCGUCCUUAUGGAGUCCUGCCCCCGGGCCCAAACGAGGCUCUGUUAUUAUUACUUCAUUCAUUCAGCAGACAUGGACUGAAUACCCCUGGAAGAAGAAUUUAAGCUUAUAAAAGCAAGGUUAAUAUAAGGAAGCUAAAACAUUAGAGAUUUAAAAAAAAAAAAAUCCUCUGAGAUGAUCGGAGAAAAGAAUGAAAGCUUUGGUUGCAGUGGAAGAAGCAAAAUGUUGAAACCCCUACUUAAUGCAAUUAAUGCUUCAGUGUGAUACUUAAUCAACCCCUGAACUCUCCCCACCCCCUAAAGUUUCCCCAUAUGUCACUAAGGAUGCUCUGAAACCCAACAGGGAAGAGAACUGAAGGCUUUUCCUCCUUCUCCCUAAUGAAGGUUUUUCUCCAGAAUGAAUGAGCCUGAUUACUGACUAAAGGCCCUCCUGCGGUCUUUACGCCCAGGGUGCUGCUUUCCUGAGAGUUCUCCAAAGACGAGAGAAGGGGCUCCGCUCUCCCCAGAUGGCGCCACGCGGCUCUGACGCACUGGCUUCUCUCUCGCACGAAUGAUCUGACGUUCAGUGUGCUUCACGCUGCCCCCGACAGCUUUCCACAUUCAUCACAGGUGCCCGCUUCGAGUCCCAAGGAACGUGCUGACAGUCUAAGGCUGGAACUCUGGCUCCAGGCUCUUCCCCACCCAUUCUGCUCGCGGGGCUCCUGGCCGCUCUGAAAUCCCAGAUGUCUAAUUAGCUCUGAGCACAGUCUAAAAGCAUUCGCACAUCCGUUCUGUGCAUAUGGUUUUUCUCCAGUGUGAAUUCUCUGACGUUGAAUGAGCUUUCCUUUCCCGCAGGCGCCCACAUUGACGGCAUUUGUAGCACUUCUGAAUGUGAAUUAGCCGAUGCCAUGUGAGGCGUCAGAAAGCUGACGGAUGCCUCCCUCAAACAAGGACUCUUUCCAAAAUGAAUGUUAGAAUGUUCUGGAGGACGGGAGCCCUGAGAAAAGUCGCCUCCAUUCAUAACAAAGAUGUUCCCUCUAAGAUGCAUAUUGUAAUGUUGAAUAAAUUCUGAAUUCUAAGAUUUGGCCACAACCAUUUCCUCACUUCUUAGAAAAUGUGUGGAGAAUUGCAGAUUUUCCCAUAUGCAUCACGUUCCUGGGGUGGGGCCCCUAAAGGUUCUCGAGGAUCUCGCUGUAUCCACAGACCUGUCUACACUCAAACCUGGUCGGUGUCCCACAGGGACCUUCUCCAGGCAUCCAGCUCUGAGUUCCCACUCAGGCCACAUGGCUGUGCCCAGUCCCAGGUCACAAUAUGAAAUUACAGGAAAUGUACAUUUCAACCACUGUCUCUAUUUUCUUUGAUGUCUUUUUAGGGCUGAACUCAGGGCAUAUGGAGGUUCCCAGGCUAGGGGUCAAAUCAGCUACAGCUGCCGGCCUACGCCACAGCCACAGCAACGCGGGAUCCGAGAAGCGUCUGCAACCUACAGCACAGCACAUGGCGCUGCCAGAUCCUUAACCCACUGAGCUGAGCCAAGGAUCAAACCUGAGUUCUCAUGGACACUAGUUGGGUUCAUUACCACUGAGCCACAACGGGAACUCUUCAACCACUGUCUCUUACAAGAUCAAGUUUCUUGGACUAAGAAUAAAAGAUUUGGGGAGAUCAAUGAUAAGCAUACCUUUGGGCAAAUAUAUAAAGUGAUGGGUGUGACAGAUUGCUGGGUUUUGGUAUUUUCCUUUCUUAACCCAGUUUUCACCACAGUGAGAAGGUAGCCAUUAAAACCGCUCACGUUCUCUGGUGACCGGGAGGGAGCACGUGGGCAGGUGCAAGGAAGCUGUUCCCAGUGUUUCUUGAUCUGGAUGCUGGUCAGAGUGUGUUCAUUUCCCCAUCCUCCCAGGCAGCCCCAGGACAGUUCCAGCAAACGAGGUAGAAGCGGAACUGGGCUUUCAAGGAAACCUGUGACAGGGAGCAGACUCCAGAGCAGGAACCUCUUGCCUUCUCCCUACCUGCCCCACUUCUUUCUGCCGGAUCCUGGUCAUGACGCUGGCUCCUGCCGCAGCCAUCCUGUGAGCACAUGGAGAAGGUCAAGGGCAGAAGAUGGCACAGCGACCCUGCAGACGGUGCCUGGUCCUGGUGGCCUUGAACUUCUCCCUUCCGGAAUUCUCACUGUUUUUAGUCUAGUGGGGGAGAAAUGAUUCACAUUUGAUGAUGGACGUAAGGCAUUUUUCCCUAUGUUUAUCACCUCUUGUUUUAAUUUCUGUCUUUCCCUACCUUCCUUUGUAAAACAUGUGUACUCAUGGAAUAUGUUAGUCCUUUGUGUGUCAAAAAUGUUGCAG
rnacentral:lncRNA from 1 species